rnacentral:rRNA from 1 species
CCUACGGGAGGCAGCAGUGGGGAAUUUUGGACAAUGGGCGCAAGCCUGAUCCAGCAAUGCCGCGUGAGUGAAGAAGGCCUUCGGGUUGUAAAGCUCUUUUGUCAGGGAAGAAACGGUGGAGGUUAAUACCUUCUGCUAAUGACGGUACCUGAAGAAUAAGCACCGGCUAACUACGUGCCAGCAGCCGCGGUAAUACGUAGGGUGCAAGCGUUAAUCGGAAUUACUGGGCGUAAAGCGUGCGCAGGCGGUUGUGCAAGACAGAUGUGAAAUCCCCGGGCUCAACCUGGGAAUUGCAUUUGUGACUGCACGGCUAGAGUGUGUCAGAGGGGGGUAGAAUUCCACGUGUAGCAGUGAAAUGCGUAGAGAUGUGGAGGAAUACCGAUGGCGAAGGCAGCCCCCUGGGAUAACACUGACGCUCAUGCACGAAAGCGUGGGGAGCAAACAGGAUUAGAUACCCUGGUAGUCCACGCCCUAAACGAUGUCUACUAGUUGUCGGGUCUUAAUUGACUUGGUAACGCAGCUAACGCGUGAAGUAGACCGCCUGGGGAGUACGGGUCGCGAAGAUUAAAACGUCAAAGGAAUUGACGG